rnacentral:rRNA from 1 species
CGGCGUGCUUAACACAUGCAAGUCGAACGGAAAGGCCCUGCUUUUGUGGGGUGCUCGAGUGGCGAACGGGUGAGUAACACGUGAGUAACCUGCCCUUGACUUUGGGAUAACUUCAGGAAACUGGGGCUAAUACCGGAUAGGAGCUCCUGCUGCAUGGUGGGGGUUGGAAAGUUUCGGCGGUUGGGGAUGGACUCGCGGCUUAUCAGCUUGUUGGUGGGGUAGUGGCUUACCAAGGCUUUGACGGGUAGCCGGCCUGAGAGGGUGACCGGCCACAUUGGGACUGAGAUACGGCCCAGACUCCUACGGGAGGCAGCAGUGGGGAAUAUUGCACAAUGGGCGGAAGCCUGAUGCAGCAACGCCGCGUGCGGGAUGACGGCCUUCGGGUUGUAAACCGCUUUCGCCUGUGACGAAGCGUGAGUGACGGUAAUGGGUAAAGAAGCACCGGCUAACUACGUGCCAGCAGCCGCGGUGAUACGUAGGGUGCGAGCGUUGUCCGGAUUUAUUGGGCGUAAAGGGCUCGUAGGUGGUUGAUCGCGUCGGAAGUGUAAUCUUGGGGCUUAACCCUGAGCGUGCUUUCGAUACGGGUUGACUUGAGGAAGGUAGGGGAGAAUGGAAUUCCUGGUGGAGCGGUGGAAUGCGCAGAUAUCAGGAGGAACACCAGUGGCGAAGGCGGUUCUCUGGGCCUUUCCUGACGCUGAGGAGCGAAAGCGUGGGGAGCGAACAGGCUUAGAUACCCUGGUAGUCCACGCUGUAAACGGUGGGUACUAGGUGUGGGGUCCAUUCCACGGGUUCCGUGCCGUAGCUAACGCUUUAAGUACCCCGCCUGGGGAGUACGGCCGCAAGGCUAAAACUCAAAGGAAUUGACGGGGCCCCGCACAAGCGGCGGAGCAUGCGGAUUAAUUCGAUGCAACGCGUAGAACCUUACCUGGGUUUGACAUGGAUCGGGAGUGCUCAGAGAUGGGUGUGCCUCUUUUGGGGUCGGUUCACAGGUGGUGCAUGGCUGUCGUCAGCUCGUGUCGUGAGAUGUUGGGUUAAGUCCCGCAACGAGCGCAACCCUUGUUCACUGUUGCCAGCACGUUAUGGUGGGGACUCAGUGGAGACCGCCGGGGUCAACUCGGAGGAAGGUGGGGAUGACGUCAAGUCAUCAUGCCCCUUAUGUCCAGGGCUUCACGCAUGCUACAAUGGCUGGUACAGAGAGUGGCGAGCCUGUGAGGGUGAGCGAAUCUCGGAAAGCCGGUCUCAGUUCGGAUUGGGGUCUGCAACUCGACCUCAUGAAGUCGGAGUCGCUAGUAAUCGCAGAUCAGCAACGCUGCGGUGAAUACGUUCCCGGGGCUUGUACACACCGCCCGUCAAGUCAUGAAAGUUGGUAACACCCGAAGCCGGUGGCCUAACCGUUGUGGGGGAGCCGUCGAAGGUGGGACUGGUGAUU